GUGGGGAAUUUUGGACAAUGGGCGCAAGCCUGAUCCAGCAAUGCCGCGUGCAGGAAGAAGGCCUUCGGGUUGUAAACUGCUUUUGUACGGAACGAAACGGCUCUGGUUAAUACCCGGGGCUAAUGACGGUACCGUAAGAAUAAGCACCGGCUAACUACGUGCCAGCAGCCGCGGUAAUACGUAGGGUGCAAGCGUUAAUCGGAAUUACUGGGCGUAAAGCGUGCGCAGGCGGUUUUGUAAGACAGGCGUGAAAUCCCCGGGCUCAACCUGGGAAUGGCGCUGGUGACUGCAGAGCUGGAGUGCGGCAGAGGGGGAUGGAAUUCCGCGUGUAGCAGUGAAAUGCGUAGAUAUGCGGAGGAACACCGAUGGCGAAGGCAAUCCCCUGGGCCUGCACUGACGCUCAUGCACGAAAGCGUGGGGAGCAAACAGGAUUAGAAACCCUGGUAGUCC
rnacentral:rRNA from 1 species